GAUGAACGCUAGCGGCAGGCUUAAUACAUGCAAGUCGAGGGGGAUCAGUUGGGUAGCAAUACCUGGCUGUGAGACCGGCAAACGGGUGAGGAACACGUACGCAACUUUCCCAAAACUGGUGAAUAGCCCUCCGAAAGGAGGAUUAAUACACCGUAACAUAACGAAAUGGCAUCAUUUUGUUAUUAUAGCAGCAAUGCGGUUUUGGAUAGGCGUGCGCCUGAUUAGGUAGUUGGCGGGGUAACGGCCCACCAAGCCUACGAUCAGUAACUGGUGUGAGAGCACGACCAGUCACACGGGCACUGAGACACGGGCCCGACUCCUACGGGAGGCAGCAGUAAGGAAUAUUGGUCAAUGGACGAAAGUCUGAACCAGCCAUGCCGCGUGAAGGAUGAAGGUCCUCUGGAUUGUAAACUUCUUUUAUCUGGGGACGAAAAAAGGGAAUUCUUUCUUCACUUGACGGUACCAGAAGAAUAAGCACCGGCUAACUCCGUGCCAGCAGCCGCGGUAAGUGACG
rnacentral:rRNA from 1 species